UAGGGAAUCUUCCACAAUGGACGCAAGUCUGAUGGAGCAACGCCGCGUGAGUGAAGAAGGUCUUCGGAUCGUAAAGCUCUGUUGUUGGUGAAGAAGGAUAGAGGCAGUAACUGGUCUUUAUUUGACGGUAAUCAACCAGAAAGUCACGGCUAACUACGUGCCAGCAGCCGCGGUAAUACGUAGGUGGCAAGCGUUGUCCGGAUUUAUUGGGCGUAAAGCGAGCGCAGGCGGAAUGAUAAGUCUGAUGUGAAAGCCCACGGCUCAACCGUGGAACUGCAUCGGAAACUGUCAUUCUUGAGUGCAGAAGAGGAGAGUGGAACUCCAUGUGUAGCGGUGGAAUGCGUAGAUAUAUGGAAGAACACCAGUGGCGAAGGCGGCUCUCUGGUCUGCAACUGACGCUGAGGCUCGAAAGCAUGGGUAGCGAACAGGAUUAGAUACCCUGGUAGUCCAUGCCGUAAACGAUGAGCGCUAGGUGUUGGGGACUUUCCGGUCCUCAGUGCCGCAGCAAACGCAUUAAGC
rnacentral:rRNA from 1 species